GAUUGCUUCUGCAGCCCAUACACUAAAAUUGUAAAGAUACAGAGAAGAUUAGCAUGGCCGCUGUGCAAUGAUGACACACAAAUUCAUGAAGUGUUCCAUAUUUUG